AACGCUCGGUUUCACUAAAGCCAAGAAACGGCGCGUUUCACUUGCCUAUUUCCCCUUUACUUCUUCGUUUCCCAUCUUUCACUUAACUCUUUCCUGUAUCCUUUUCUCUGGCUGCUUAUGAAGAAACAACAAAUUUGCUCACAUCAAGUUCAAAUCAUCAUCUUCUUCAAAGAUGCCAAGAUCCUUUGCUUCUCUUUUCUCCCGCAAGAAAUCGCAAACACUUACCUUCAAAGAUUACUGCACAAACUGGUGCAACACUCUGCAAAAAACCCUCCUCCCUCCCUCUCAUUCAUAAAGAUUACGCACCCACGCACUUGUGCAUGUAUAUCUGACUGAUAUGAGUAGCUGCAGAAUCUGUUUUGUUCAUCUUCAUGCUAUGCUUGUAGCAGAUAAGGUGAGGAAAUUGUGGUGGUUUAAAGUUUUGGAUUCUUAUGAUGGGUUGAUUGUACUUCCUAAUUUGUGGGCGUUUGUGAUUUGAUUCUUCAGUGGCUUACAAUUAUCAUUCAAGCUCUAUAUACUUUUCAUUCCAUUCUUUUUAUGCCAAUAAUUUAAAAAAUGCAUGCAAAGAUUCAUUUUCACUAUUUUACAGUAGCCACACAGAAUAAAGAACAAUUGAAAAAAGAAUCUGGAAUUUUCUUUCUACUUUAAUUUGGCCGCUUUUUAUGCUUGAGCUACUUCCCUUUAAUCUGUUUGUUUGCUUUUAAUCUGAAAUGAGGAGAACGAAGACGAAGAAGCAACUUGGUUCUGUAACUUCUGUUGAUGCUUUUGCGAUUUAUCUAAAGCCAAACGUCAUCGUUUCAUAGCAAAUAAAAACAAAAAAAAAAUUAAUGACGAAACGGCGUCGUGUUAGUCAGUUUCGGGGUUUGACCCGGGACAAACAUCAGCACUGUAAAAUUUAUCACCAUUUAUUUUACUUGUUUACUUAAUUUUUGAAAAAUUUCUAAAAAGACAGAAAGAUGAUUUUAAAAUGUUAUAUAUAUAAUGUAACCAUUGCAAAAUAAUUUUAUAUAAAAUUUUACCAAAUAUAUUUUUACUCUUUGCAUUUUUUAAGACAAACCAGUAAGCAUAUUUUACUUUUUUUUAUUUUCAAAUGUUAGUUUCAAUAUAAAUUAUCGAGUACAUUUUUAUUUUCACUCAACUAAAAUCCAAAUUUAUUGAGCAUAUUCUGGAUAGAACCUUACAAGUAAGUUAAAUAAUGGCCAUGUGAAUGCAGCAAAUAAUUUAUGGAUGAGCUUUUCUCCAAAAUCUAUCCAAUAUGAACAACAAUUUUGGAGGAAAAAAUAAUUCGUG
rnacentral:lncRNA from 1 species